GUAGGUAGGAAGAAGAUUCUAAGGCCAACGGGAGAAGGGUUGUUAAGGAACUCGGCAAAUUGACCCCGUAACUUCGGGAGAAGGGGUGCUCCAGAGAUGGAGCCGCAGAGAAUCGGCCCAAGCAACUGUUUACCAAAAACACAGGUUUGUGCUAAAUCGAAAGAUGACGUAUACGAGCUGACGCCUGCCCGGUGCUGGAAGGUUAAGAGGAGAUGUGCAAGCAUUGAAUCGAAGCCCCAGUGAACGGCGGCCGUAACAAUAACGGUCCUAAGGUAGCGAAAUUCCUUGUCAGGUAAGUUCUGACCCGCAUGAAAGGCGUAAUGAUUUGGGCACUGUCUCAACAGCCCGCCCGGCGAAAUUGUAGUACCGGUGAAGAUGCCGGUUACCCGCGACAAGACGGAAAGACCCCAUGGAGCUUUACUGUAGCCUAAUAUUGGGUUUCGAUGUUGCAUGCACAGGAUAGAUGGGACACAGGGAAACAAUCGCUUUGGCGGUUGCGGAGUGGCCGUUGGGAUACCAUCCUUGCGAUAUUGGAAUUCUAACCUGCGGCUCUGAAUCGAGUCGGGGGACAUUGUUAGGUGGGCAGUUUGACUGGGGCGGUCGCCUCCUAAAAAGUAACGGAGGCGUUCAAAGGUUCGCUCAGCUUGAACGGAAAUCAAGCAAAAGAGAGCAAACGCAGAAGCGAGCCUAACUGUGAGACUGACGGGUCGAGCAGUAACGAAAGUUGGAGUUAGUGAUCCGGUGGUAUGUGAGUGGAAAUGCCAUCGCUCAACGGAUAAAAGUUACCCUGGGGAUAACAGGCUGAUCUCCCCCAAGAGUCCACAUCGACGGGGAGGUUUGGCACCUCGAUGUCGGCUCAUCGCAUCCUGGGGCUGUAUUCGGUCCCAAGGGUUUGGCUGUUCGCCAAUUAAAGCGGUACGCGAGCUGGGUUCAGAACGUCGUGAGACAGUUCGGUCCCUAUCUGUCGUGGGCGCAGGAUAUUUGAUGGGAGCUGUCCCUAGUACGAGAGGACCGGGACGGACGUACCUCUGGCGCACCAGUUGUUCCGCCAGGAGCAUAGCUGGGCAACUACGUACGGAUCGGAUAAACGCUGAAAGCAUCUAAGCGUGAAGCCGACCCAAAGAUAAGAUAUCCCACUGAUUUGAUCAGGUAAGAUCCCUUGAAGACUACAAGGUUGAUAGGCACGAUGUGUAAGUGGAGCGAUCCAUUCAGCAAGAGUGUACUAAUAGAUCGAGGGCUUGACCU
rnacentral:rRNA from 1 species